CUCGUCGUAGGUCCUACCUUAUGCUGGGGCAGUUCUAGAAAAGAAUCACCACCUUGCUUUUUGAAACUGGGGAUUUUAAAAAAAUCAAGUUUGUAGCUGUUCUGCUUCAGGAAGAAGCCCCCAUGGUAUCUGGAACUGCCAUCAAGGAGAUCUCUGGUGAAGUGAUCUGUUCCAUCUGCUUAGAAUAUUUCACAGACCUGGUGAUUCUUGUAGGCUGUGGGCACUGCUUCUGCCAAGCCUGCCUCACCCAGUACUGGCCGGACUCUGAUACAGAGUUUUCCUGCCCUCACUGCAAAGGAGUAGUUUGAGAAAGGAACUUCAAGCCGAACCGGUCACUGGCAAACAUUAACAUUGUCAAACUGGAGGAAGAAGAAAGAGCAGAAGAGAAAACUGUGUGCAAGGAAGAGGAAGAUCCCGUUGCCUUGGGAUAUGAGAAAUCCGGGGAGCAUCGGGCUGAUGGCGAAUUUCCUGUGGAUGAGACAUCCCAAGAGAGUAAGAUGACUGAAAGUGAAGGGACAGGAACCAUCAACGGCCGCAAGGGCCGUGGCGUUUCAUGGCGACACAAGGAGACCUUGGAUCUACUGGAUAUCUGGGGAGAGCAGAAGAUCCAGGACCAGCUCCGAAGCAGCCACCGGAAUAUUGAUUUUUUUGAGUACAUUGCCCAGGAGAUGACCACCCGAGGCCACCAUCGUACUGCCGUAGAGUGCCGUUCCAAGACCAAAAUCAUGCGGCUGGAGUAUAAGCGUGUGAUUGGUCACAAUUCCAGGGCAGGGAGCAAUAAGGUGACUUGCCCUUUCUACAAGCAACUGCACCGCAUCCUUCGUGGAGAUGCCAGCGUCAGACCCAAGCGGGUUUCACGAAGCCUGAAUUUCAAACAGGGCCCACAGCAAGAAGCUGUACCAGAUCCCCCAGUUAUGGAGGAGCAGUUCUCUCCUGGGGAUCUAAACAUAAUUAACAUUGGAGACUAUCUCAAAAAGGAAAGCAUAGACAACGUGGCAGACGGAACGGUGGCUGUUCAUGGCAACGAGGAAGAACUGCUAAAUGUGGGGAAUUUUACACAAACUGAGGAGGAAGAGAGCAAUGGAGGCAGUGAACCUCCUGCUGUCCCUUCAAAGGAACCCGAGCCUCCCACCACUCGACUCUCCUUGAUUAGGAACAAAAAGAAGAGGGAAAGGGCAGAGAGCAUGUUUCAGCUCUUCAUGGAGCAGGCCCGAGAGGACUCCCAAAAAGAGCAGGAGGAGAUGGCGCGGGACAGAGUUGUACUGGCCAGGUUUCUGACGGCAUUUGAGCGAGACGCCGCAGACAGCCGAGAGGAGAGGAGGCCGUGCCUGGAGGCGAUGCGUGCCAACUGCGAUAUGUUGCAGGGCAUCGUGAAUGGCUUAAACAAGCUGACGGACGCCAUCGCCGGCCAGCAGCAAGCCAGCACCGGGAGCCAAGCUAGACCCCCCUUGCAUUCGGCCACUCACAAAGAUUUGCCCCUCAAUUCCACUCUGGGCGCAAGGAGUGGCUUACUCCAAGAAGUGCCACGUUCAUACCCUACCAGCAAUGCCAGUGCGGCACCAAAAAGCGGCUCUCGGAAGCCUAGCCAUGGGACUCACCCUCUUCCAAGGGUGAUGUGUAAUCUCGGGUAACAGAUGACAAAGUGUCUUUGUUAAGAUUUCGUGACAAUGAAAGGUAGACCAGGCUAAGGGAGAAGGAAGUUGGGGAAAGCGGGAAGCUUUGGAAGAGGGCCCUUCCAGAAGUGUGGAAGCUUGGUGGCUUUUGCAGAUAGACAAGUCUGAAGCCCAAGGAUACCUGCAUGCACUAGGCGGGAAAUCACAGCGUACUUAAAGUAGCUUUCUCUUUAUGCUGUACCGGCCAGUGCUUCCAGGCAGAGCCACCUCCCAUCGUCCCCAGGAUUUUCUCUCGGCAGGUGCUAAAACAGCAAAGAAAACCAACUUCCAUCAGGGAGGGCCAUUCUGACAAUGAGGUGGAGAACACAUUGGCUUUCCAUCAGCCUGAGCCAAAGUGAACACAGGUGGGGGAUGAGGAGAGUUGCAGUCCACUACCCAAAGGUUUCUGACCCCUUUUUUUCUAAAACAUAAAUCUCAUUUCACCCUUCCCCCCCCCAAAAAAAAAUCCAUUAUGAUCAGUGGACCACAAUCUCUGGUUAACCCCAUGUAGGUGAGACUCUCUCUCUUUCUCUCUUUCUCCCCCCCCCCCCUUUCUCCUAGGCACACCCUUGUGUGUGUAUAUUAGAGAAAAUUUGCGAAGUAGUUGGUUCCCAGUCAUCCCAGUUUUGGCCUCUGAUCUGCCCCAUCGGUCUAAUUGAAGGGGGCUGGUUGUGAGGGGACAGACUCCCCCUCAGAGUGUUCUUCUAAAGUCGGGGAGCAAACCAAGUCUUCUUCGACGUGCUCAGACAUAACACCGUGCAUGAGCUCCUUACCCUAUUAAAACAGCCAGUUUCUUUAGAGGUCUCAGGCGGUGGAAAAUAUGGCGGGUGAUAUCUCUGGACGUUUCAUAGCUGUCCAUCUUGAAUUAUAGCACGUUGGGUGGGAUAGGCUAUAUACUGAAGUGUUUCUUGGGGGAACGCAGUGAACCAGGUCUUUCCACGUUGAUGGAAACCUUUCAGCGAUCCUGUGAAGGCACUUU
rnacentral:lncRNA from 1 species